AACGCCCAACAAUUUACUUGGUCCGAACGCUUUGAGGAUUGACAGUUAUUGUUUAGUUCUGAUAUGGGUGGUAUUUGUAGUCAACGUGUAGGUAGUUGUAUAUUAAAUAUGAAAGUUCUUUUAUGAUUAUGUGAUAGGUGGUGCAUGGCCGUCCUUAAUUCGUGGAGUGAUUUGUCUGCUUAAUUGCGCAUUGCAAAUUGUAAUUGAUCUUUUACCAGUCUCGUUCUGAUUUAUGUUGUGAAUAUUGUAAAUAUUGUUGUCGUCGAGUCAUUAUUGCCACUACGUCUGGUCCUUUGGGCAGAAUAG
rnacentral:rRNA from 1 species